rnacentral:misc_RNA from 1 species
AAGUCGUAACAAGGUUUCCGUAGGUGAACCUGCGGAAGGAUCAUUAACACGUAUCCAACGUUAAACCAUUGUACGAGUUACAUCCACGUCAUAAACCGGCAUCUCUGGUAAAUCAUCGCCGAACAGUUUUGAUUCAGAGACCUCUGGGAAGGGUGUACGGUAGUGCAUUCCUCGGCUUGUUAGUGUCUAAGUCACUAGCUAUGUACGGAUGGCGCAGUAACGAUCGCUGGAGGCCGACACGGCCAGCGACCAGGUCACUGGGCUACGGCCCCCCUGAUCACAACCUUUGCAUGAAAACGGGCCUGCGCUGAGGUUCGGCCACCCUAAUGCUUGAACAACUGUUAACAAUGGAUAUCUUGGUUCUC